AUUUAAUUGAGGGGAAUGUUUCUUAAUGAAUGAGUGGGACGAGAAGACCCUAUAAAUCUUUAAUAAUUUUUUUACAAAAUUGAUUAAAAAGUAAGUAAGAUUAUUUUGGUUGGGGUGACUAAAAAAUAUUGUUAAACUUUAUUUGGAUCCACUUGAAGUGAUUGAAUAAAUAAGAUACUUUAGGGAUAACAGCGUUAUUAUUUUGAAAAGAUCAUAUUUAUAAAAUAGAUUGCGACCUCGAUGUUGGAUUGAAAUACCUAGUAGGAGCAGGAUUUUGCUGGGGCAGUUUGUUCAACUGUUAAAUUUUCACUUGAUCU
rnacentral:rRNA from 1 species